CAAUAACAAUUUCUCAAUGAAUACUGUUUCCAUUAUGAAGCCUUUCACAGUUGCACUAUCUGGAUAUCUUACAGGGUGAGGACACCUUGUUUUUAAUGGAACGCUUCAACCAACACUAGAAGUUUCUCAAUUGGGAAAAAUCUUAGCAAUGAAAACGGCCUAUCAGCAAAUGACCACACUGGGCUGCCUGAAAGUUAGUUAUUGUGGAGACCAAUCAAAACUCGAUUUGCCGCAAUAAAUUGACUCCAAGGAAGCGCUGGCUUUGCCGCUGUGCUGUCUCACUGCCUUAGUUUAAGCUGCGUUGGUAAAAGAAGAAGCCAGAAGAGACUAUAUCGUCAAGAUACAUCUCCUCAUGUCAGAAGUGGUCGUUCCCUAACAACCACAAGAGAGCCUGCAGCCCUCAUGGACCGAAGUGUCCCUCAAAUUAACCGCUGCUGUUGCCUCCCCA